AAUAUUUUUAAUUAUUUGAUUGAAGGAGAUAAUUAAAAGAGAAAAUUAAUACUUUCUCAUUUCAUCAUUUAAUUUUACAUUUAUAAUUAUUAAUGAAAUACUAAUUAAUUAUAAAUAAUUUUUUACUAAAUUCAUUAAUUAAAGAAGAUUGACACUUUGACUCGACAAAACAUUUUACAAGUUUUACCUACCGAAUGGCUCACCUGUAAGUGUACCCUUCCGCGCUCACAUGAGUUUGCGGACUCCUACGAUCCGCAGCAGACUUCCGGGCAGAACCACUACCAGCAUUACGCUUUUUUGCAUGGGCACCAGCGAUGAUAGAGACAAACACUAAUGAAUUCCGUGUGCCCGAUCGAUGAUGCUAUCUUUUUAAUUUCCCGCCUUGUGAGGCUUGAAUUCCAAAACAUAUCGCCGCGUAAUGCCAAAAGAAUUUUCGCUCAUCGGCCAGCAACAUCUUCAUCUCGGUACGCUGCGCACGAAGCAUCGAUCGUUUCCAAUUGAUCAAAAUUUAUUGACUCUGCUUUGGAAAAGAAACAUCGAACGGUAUUUGUAAAUUUUUCAAGGAUGAAGAAUAGAAGACACUGAUUCUCUUCUGCAACCUCUUCUCAUCUUCUCUGAUGAGGCCAUGCGUUUUCGAUCAAGUGAAAUUUAUCAUCAAAUUUUAUGACUAAUACUCGAACAAAAAGUGGAAG